rnacentral:rRNA from 1 species
WUWGWACCUCACUUACAUGGAUAACCGUGGUAAUUCUAGAGCUAAUACAUGCUAAAAACCUCGACUUCGGAAGGGGUGUAUUUAUUAGAUAAAAAACCAAUGCCCUCCGGGGCUCCUUGGUGAUUCAUGAUAACUCAACGAAUCGCAUGGCCUUGCGCCGGCGAUGGUUCAUUCAAAUUUCUGCCCUAUCAACUUUCGAUGGUAGGAUAGUGGCCUACCAUGGUGGCAACGGGUAACGGGGAAUUAGGGUUCUAUUCCGGAGAGGGAGCCUGAGAAACGGCUACCACAUCCAAGGAAGGCAGCAGGCGCGCAAAUUACCCAAUCCCGACACGGGGAGGUAGUGACAAUACGUAUCGAUAUGGAGCUCUUUAGGGUUUCAUAAUUGAAAUGAGUACAAUUUAAAUCCUGUGACGAGGAACAAUUGGAGGGCAAGUCUGGUGCCAGCAGCCGCGGUAAUUCCAGCUCCAAUAGCGUAUAUUAAAGUUGUUGCAGUUAAAAAGCUCGUAGUUGAACCUUGGGCCUGGCUGACCGGUCCGCCUCACCGCGUGCACUGGUUCGGCCGGGCCUUUCCUCCUGGGGAACCGCAUGCCCUUUACUGGGUGUGCCGGGGAACCAAGACUUUUACUUUGAAAAAAUUAGAGUGUUCAAAGCAGGCCUAUGCUCGAAUACAUUAGCAUGGAAUAAUAGAAUAGGACGUGCGGUUCUAUUUUGUUGGUUUCUAGGACCGCCGUAAUG